CUAUUACUCCCUCCGUUCGGAAAUACUUGUCAUUGAAAUGGAUGUAUCUAGAUGUAUUUUAGUUCUAGAUACAUCCAUUUUGAUGACAAGUAAUUCCGAACGGAGGGAGUACCUU
rnacentral:pre_miRNA from 1 species